rnacentral:rRNA from 1 species
CCUACGGGAGGCAGCAGUGGGGGAUAUUGCACAAUGGGGGAAACCCUGAUGCAGCAACGCUGCGUGAAGGAAGAAGGUCUUCGGAUUGUAAACUUCUGUCCUCAGGGAAGAUAAUGACGGUACCUGAGGAGGAAGCUCCGGCUAACUACGUGCCAGCAGCCGCGGUAAU